AUACGUCGCCGCCGAUGAGUAAGGCACAGAACCCACCGCUUCUCUCCCCAUCUGCAAGAAACUGAGAGAAAACACGGACUUCUGGCGUGAAAUUAGGCCAUUCUCUACUGUCAGUUUUGCUUCUUCAAACAAACAGGAUUUAUCUGUUGAGGAAUGUAUAUGAUCAUAUGAUCUUGGAUGGAGUGAAACCAGAGAAAGAUACAUUUAGCAUGCUGAUUGGUGAUAGCAUGAAAGGUGUUUGUCUGCACAUUUGUUUCUUCUUACAUGUCCAGAUGAAAUCCACGGUUUUGAUUCCUCAUAUUUUGACUCCACAUUUGUUGUCAACUGCUACAAAUGUAACCGAAAAUAUGAUGUGUUUGACCUCAAAGAACACAUUAAGUAAAAAGGAUUUGGCUAAUUAACAAGGGGGUUUUUAUGUUGAGCUUUGGAAAUCUUGUAAAGAUGCUUGUUGAAGAUUGUAGCCACAUACAAGGUUUGUUAAUUGACAUUCGGCAAAUUGGUUGUUGUUGUUUACUACAAAAUAGAAACAAUUCUAAUUUUAUAAUGGUUCAUAAUUAAAUCAUGAAUUAUAAAAAUCUUUUUUUAGUAACUAAUCUAUAAAUUUAAAUAUAAAAUAUUAAUUUCUAGAUAUAAACUAUAAAAAAUUAUAUUAAUCAAAUAGCCUUUUUGGUUUUUUCUAAUUAAUCAAAAUAAUAAAAAUUUAAUCAAAACUAAACCAAAUAAGAUAUAUUUAUUCGGUUAACCAAACAAAAUUAACCAAAAACCGAAUAACCCAAACAAAAUAAACCAAACAUCAUUUGGUUUGGUUCAAUUAUUCGGUUUUGGUUUUUUAUCACAACUCUAAUAUUAGAGUUUGAAAACUCAAAAAAACGUUAAAGCUCCAAAUCAAGCAAUGAAUAAAAUUUUUUGAUCUUACAUUAAUGAUUAGAUGAGAGAAACAAAGUUAGAAAUUACUUCAUAUGCUCAUAAUAGAUAAAAACUUCUAAUUUAGAGAAAUCCCAAACCCUAGGUCGAGUUUAGAUGAAGCAGAAGAAACGACUUGAUAAUAUUUAAUAUUGUGUCUCAAGAAUGUGAUUCUAGCUUCUAAUAUUCAACUAAUCUUUAAAUUCACCUCUAAUUUUCCCCCUAACUCUAAAAUCACCAUCAAGAUUUCCAAUGUCUUCCCAAAACCAUUCAUAAGAGGGAAAGGGUAGAAUUAGGGCUUUGAUUUUCAAUCUUUUCUCUAUUGACACUAUCAAGUUUUAAGUUUCUUACUGGUAUAUUUAACCCAAAAGGUUAUAAUAUUAUUACAAGGAAUAUAUGAGGAAUUAGAUUCCUAACAUUAUUGAUCCCAACUAAGUGAAGACAAGGUCAAACCUAAGUUUCAUCAUAGUUUUGUCUAUCAUGUUUUAAGUUUCUUACUCGUCUUUUUAACUAACUUUAUUUAACCCAACUAAGUCAAGCAGUGACGGAACCAUGAUAAAGUGGUAUCUAAAAACAUCACGUAAUACAAAAUAAGAAAAAAAUAAAAACCGCAAUUUCAUUAGACAUAAAGUUCAACUUCAACGUUUUCGGUUGCGACGGCCAAAACCAAAGUUAGUUCUAAUAAUCUAUAAACCAAAGAAAAAGAGAGGUGUUUUUCAGUUUCCACCAAACGCGAGAGAUCCACAAUUCCCUUCAAGUUGAAAAUUUUAUUAUCAUGGAGCAAAAAGUGAUAAUAGAUAUCUUUAACAUCCGUUUUGAUUCCGAUAAGUAAUUUUUUUCAAAAGAAAAUAAUAAUAAUAAUAAUAAUAAUAAUAAUAAUAAUAAUAAUAAUAAUAACUACAACAAAAAGAAAAACAAUAAAAGCAAUAUCAAUAGUAAUAAUAAAAAUAAAUCAUUAUUUUUUAAAUAAACAUAAUAUAUAUGUCAACGGUAACUUUCCAAAAACUAUUUUAGUUAAAAUAAGUGAAAUUUAAGGUAGAUUUAGGUUAUAUGCCAAACAUGAGGGACCAUUUGUGUCAAAAGCCGAAAUAUGGAGCUUGUUCUUUAUUUAUUGCAACAUCGUAGUGUACGCUAAAGACCUUUUCUCGAUUCAGGCUAGUAGGAACGCAAAUCUGGGAAAGCCUCUUAACCCUUACCCUUAAUAACCUUCCCUUAAACCAUUUGAAUCGCUUCUCCCUUCUCUUAGCUACCAAACCCGAGAGAAAAAGACUGAAAAAUAAGUGAGGUCGGGUAGGGUUUUAGUGAGGAAAAAGACACUACAAGCUCGAUCACCGUAACUAUACUAUUGGAAAUUUUGAAGGGGCAUCCCGAGCUACCCGGGGCUCCAAGGUGGAUCCGCCCCUGAAGUCAAGACAAUGUUGAACCCAAGUUUCAUCAAAUUGACAAAUUUAAGUCUCAUCUAUCAAUAGCUUUUCCGAAAAAAUCAUUUACCAGUAUUUCCAACAUAGAAGCUAUAACUUAAACUAUUACAUAUUAAUUUAUUACAAGUUAAUCCUCAAACAUAGUUUCACAAGUUAAAUCCGAGUUAUGCACAAGUUUCCCAAACUUGGUAAAUAACAUAAACUAUUACAUAUUAAUUUAUUACAAGUUAAUCCUCAAACACAGUUUCACAAGUUAAGUCCGAGUUAUGCACACAUUUCCCAAACUUGGUAAAUAUAGUCCACUGAUACUAAAAUCUUGAUUUAACCUAAUUACGCUUUCUAACAACAUCAAAACUUUAAGUUCACUUAUAAAGCCAAAAGUUCUAGCCCCAAGACUCUAACUCAUUAUUUUGUUCAUUUGUUAUGGAUGACAUUUCAUAAGACAAGCUUAAGUUUCACCUUUUUAUCACAUAAUUCUUUUCCAAUAAUAAAGUUCUAACAAGAGCUUACAAAAUCGGUUAUCCAAAAUUUUGGAUACUUUGAGAGUUUCUAAGACUGAUAUUCGGAUCCGCAUCCAAAAAUUGGAUGCAAAAUCGAACCUCAAAACUUUUUAUAUGAAUAUAGUAUAUUCAAAUUUCAUCCAAAAGUUCUACAAUGUUUUCUCAUCCACAUAAUAGAAUUGUAUAUUUGGUUUAUCAACAUAGUAUCUUCCUUAAAAUUAUAGAUACUCUACAUAAGCCAACGGAUUUAGACAAAGGUAUCAAACACGUAUAAAGAAGGAACCAUCGAAAAUAUACCUCAAUUAAGUGUCGGUGUCACCAAAUGUUAAAACCAAAUAUACAAGGAAUUGCAAUUACAAAGGAUAAUAUUACAUAAAACAUUAGAAAAAUAAAAAGAAGAAUUUUGGAUUUUUUUGGUUUAUACGAGUACCAGAAAUUUUUGGAAAAUCACUACCCUAAAUCCGUUUCCAAAAUUACGGAUAUCUAAGUUUUAGAUAGCUAAAUUUUCCGAUAUCCAACAUUUCAUAAUUUUUUGGAUCAGAUUUCCGUAUUUUCAAAUCGAAUUAGCUAAGGCUGGCUAUUAUUACAAAUUUAUUUAUAAUACCCUACAAGCCCCCCCGAGCUACAAGUUGAACAAAUUUAUUUUAACAUAUUACUUAAGUGAUUUUGGCUGCUUGAGUUUCUUUCUAAAGAGCAUGUAAAGAGUGGCACCCAUCAAUGGCAAUGUUGAUAUGACAGCAAUGUACGUAAGCAUCCAUGUUGAUCUUCUGUUUUGUUGGAACAGCUGCUCCAACCAUUUUUUGAUGCUAUUCAAAUCAGCUACUUUGACCGAUGUUUGACCA